CAUACAUCGAGAACCAACCAAGAUUAUUGAAUCUUGCAAAUGUGUAUAAAAUCUUUGCAAAGGCGUUUGAUAUUGUUUAUUAGCUAUUUGCAUUUUUGUGAAUUUGAAAGUUAUUAUUUGUUGCGAAUUGUACUGUCGAGUUUACUUAGUCAAUAUGAGUAAACAAGUAAAGGCCUGCCUACCAGGAUGUAGGAAUAAGCUAGCGAAAAGGUUAUGAAAAAAGGUGAAAAUGAUAUUUUUUGGGUACAGGAGCAACCAUCUUCAUUUUCAACUCCAAAAAGGCUGUUAGAAUGGAGUUUCAAAAGUAGCUUAUUGGGAACACAUUAAAAAUUAUAUAGUAUGGAUAAACAAAUGGGAUUUUUCAGUGGCUUCCCCAAAUUAAUGGAUCAACAUAUUUAUAAAGACAAAAUUAAGAAGAUGAGGGUAAAAAUUGUACGCAAGUAUUUAUUCGGACAGUAGCAACGACAAUGAAAACUCGUGCAGAGAUCAGCAAUGAGUUGCAGGCAGAAUCUCGCUUUUACUUGAAUCCCAAAGCAACUAAAACUGCAGAUUUAUUAUUGUUUUUGGACAUGUUGUUCAACAACAUUAAUGGAAAUCUGUUAAAUCCUCCUUUAGGGAAAGAAUUGAGGGCAGUUAUCACUGUCACAUCCAAACAUCUAGAUACUUGGCUCAAUGUACUGCCAGUUUUAAAUUCAUUCCAUUUUAUAGACCCAUCAAAAAAGAGUGGUAGAUGUAUAACACCAUCAAUUAAGAAACUACCAUUCACCAUUAAAGGAUUUGUGUACAUUUGGCAAAAGUAAGGCAAGAGGGAUUCAAAUAUUUGAGUGCCAGAAAUUUGAAUCAAGAUGCUAUUGAAAAUUUCUUUGGCAUGGUAAGAAGUCAUGGCAUUAGGAAUAUGAAUCCUUCACGUUUCCUGCAUUUGUUUCGUCCACAAAAUCUUUAAUUGUAAAUAAUUUCAUGUCUAAACAUUCGCCAGGAUUUAAUUGUGAAGACGACUUUUCAAUGGGGGCAUUGGAUACUUUUAAAAAUCUCCUCAGUGAAACACCUAUUGAACAAAUCACUCCAAUAGUCAAUGUCCCAAUUAAUAAACCAUUCAAUAGAAGCUCAAAAUAUACAGGAUUAGAUCUUGUUACUCCUUAUGUAGCAGGUUCAGUAGCGAAGAAAUUAUUUAAAAGUAUCAAAUUGCCACUUGUGUAAAAAUAUAAUAUUGUCAAACAAAUUAAUUAAGGCAAAUUCAUUAAUAUAUUCUAGGGAACAUAAAAAGAAAUGUUUUAUGUGCGCCUUCAGCAAAAUUGCCCCAGUUAAUCAAUUCAUUAGGCAUAAAAAAACAAAUAUUUCGUUUGGAGGAUUUGACAAACAUUUCCUCAAUAUUUUGUUUGUAAAUAUUAGUUUCAACAUAUGCAUCUUUCAUUACUUAAGUAUUAUUAAUAAAAUUUUGAAGGGCAAAGAUCAACAAUAUAAAGACUAUGAUGUGAUGAAUAUGGCAUAUGUUAAAUAUAGGGAAAGCUGCAAGAAAGACAACGGUAAUAAUGAAUUAACCAUGGUUAUAAAAUCAGUUUUUUUUAAAUACCAUUGUAUGUACCAUGUACAAACAGAAACAUUUUUUAAACACGCCAACAUCUCACUGUUGACAGUCCUAAGCCUGCUAAAGUGUGAAGGAAAAUUUUUUGUUUGUGGAUAUAGUUAUAAAAUGUCAAAAACAAAAUAAAAAUUAUAAUGACC